rnacentral:rRNA from 1 species
GGCAUAGCCAUAUCACCCUUAGCAUGCCUUAUCUCAGAAGCUAAGUAGCACUGGGAAUGGUUAGUACUUGGAUGAGAAAUCACAUCAAAAUACCAGAUGCUGUAGUUU